UAAGCGGCUAAGCGUACACGGUGGAUGCCCUGGCAGUCAGAGGCGAUGAAGGACGUGCUAAUCUGCGAUAAGCGUCGGUAAGGUGAUAUGAACCGUUAUAACCGGCGAUUUCCGAAUGGGGAAACCCAGUGUGAUUCGUCACACUAUCAUUAACUGAAUCCAUAGGUUAAUGAGGCGAACCGGGGGAACUGAAACAUCUAAGUACCCCGAGGAAAAGAAAUCAACCGAGAUUCCCCCAGUAGCGGCGAGCGAACGGGGAGCAGCCCAGAGCCUGAAUCAGUGUGUGUUAGUGGAAGCGUCUAGGAAAGGCGCGCGAUACAGGGUGACAGCCCCGUACACAAAAAUGCACAUACUGUGAGCUCGAUGAGUAGGGCGGGACACGUGGUAUCCUGUCUGAAUAUGGGGGGACCAUCCUCCAAGGCUAAAUACUCCUGACUGACCGAUAGUGAACCAGUACCGUGAGGGAAAGGCGAAAAGAACCCCGGCGAGGGGAGUGAAAAAGAACCUGAAACCGUGUACGUACAAGCAGUGGGAGCACAGAGCAAUCUGUGUGACUGCGUACCUUUUGUAUAAUGGGUCAGCGACUUAUAUUCUGUAGCAAGGUUAACCGAAUAGGGGAGCCGAAGGGAAACCGAGUCUUAACUGGGCGUUAAGUUGCAGGGUAUAGACCCGAAACCCGGUGAUCUAGCCAUGGGCAGGUUGAAGGUUGGGUAACACUAACUGGAGGACCGAACCGACUAAUGUUGAAAAAUUAGCGGAUGACUUGUGGCUGGGGGUGAAAGGCCAAUCAAACCGGGAGAUAGCUGGUUCUCCCCGAAAGCUAUUUAGGUAGCGCCUCGUGAAUUCAUCUCCGGGGGUAGAGCACUGUUUCGGCAAGGGGGUCAUCCCGACUUACCAACCCGAUGCAAACUGCGAAUACCGGAGAAUGUUAUCACGGGAGACACACGGCGGGUGCUAACGUCCGUCGUGAAGAGGGAAACAACCCAGACCGCCAGCUAAGGUCCCAAAGUCAUGGUUGAGUGGGAAACGAUGUGGGAAGGCCCAGACAGCCAGGAUGUUGGCUUAGAAGCAGCCAUCAUUUAAAGAAAGCGUAAUAGCUCACUGGUCGAGUCGGCCUGCGCGGAAGAUGUAACGGGGCUAAACCAUGCACCGAAGCUGCGGCAGCGACGCUUAUGCGUUGUUGGGUAGGGGAGCGUUCUGUAAGCCUGCGAAGGUGUGCUGUGAGGCAUGCUGGAGGUAUCAGAAGUGCGAAUGCUGACAUAAGUAACGAUAAAGCGGGUGAAAAGCCCGCUCGCCGGAAGACCAAGGGUUCCUGUCCAACGUUAAUCGGGGCAGGGUGAGUCGACCCCUAAGGCGAGGCCGAAAGGCGUAGUCGAUGGGAAACAGGUUAAUAUUCCUGUACUUGGUGUUACUGCGAAGGGGGGACGGAGAAGGCUAUGUUGGCCGGGCGACGGUUGUCCCGGUUUAAGCGUGUAGGCUGGUUUUCCAGGCAAAUCCGGAAAAUCAAGGCUGAGGCGUGAUGACGAGGCACUACGGUGCUGAAGCAACAAAUGCCCUGCUUCCAGGAAAAGCCUCUAAGCAUCAGGUAACAUCAAAUCGUACCCCAAACCGACACAGGUGGUCAGGUAGAGAAUACCAAGGCGCUUGAGAGAACUCGGGUGAAGGAACUAGGCAAAAUGGUGCCGUAACUUCGGGAGAAGGCACGCUGAUAUGUAGGUGAAGUCCCUCGCGGAUGGAGCUGAAAUCAGUCGAAGAUACCAGCUGGCUGCAACUGUUUAUUAAAAACACAGCACUGUGCAAACACGAAAGUGGACGUAUACGGUGUGACGCCUGCCCGGUGCCGGAAGGUUAAUUGAUGGGGUUAGCGCAAGCGAAGCUCUUGAUCGAAGCCCCGGUAAACGGCGGCCGUAACUAUAACGGUCCUAAGGUAGCGAAAUUCCUUGUCGGGUAAGUUCCGACCUGCACGAAUGGCGUAAUGAUGGCCAGGCUGUCUCCACCCGAGACUCAGUGAAAUUGAACUCGCUGUGAAGAUGCAGUGUACCCGCGGCAAGACGGAAAGACCCCGUGAACCUUUACUAUAGCUUGACACUGAACAUUGAGCCUUGAUGUGUAGGAUAGGUGGGAGGCUUUGAAGUGUGGACGCCAGUCUGCAUGGAGCCGACCUUGAAAUACCACCCUUUAAUGUUUGAUGUUCUAACGUGGACCCGUAAUCCGGGUUGCGGACAGUGUCUGGUGGGUAGUUUGACUGGGGCGGUCUCCUCCUAAAGAGUAACGGAGGAGCACGAAGGUUGGCUAAUCCUGGUCGGACAUCAGGAGGUUAGUGCAAUGGCAUAAGCCAGCUUGACUGCGAGCGUGACGGCGCGAGCAGGUGCGAAAGCAGGUCAUAGUGAUCCGGUGGUUCUGAAUGGAAGGGCCAUCGCUCAACGGAUAAAAGGUACUCCGGGGAUAACAGGCUGAUACCGCCCAAGAGUUCAUAUCGACGGCGGUGUUUGGCACCUCGAUGUCGGCUCAUCACAUCCUGGGGCUGAAGUAGGUCCCAAGGGUAUGGCUGUUCGCCAUUUAAAGUGGUACGCGAGCUGGGUUUAGAACGUCGUGAGACAGUUCGGUCCCUAUCUGCCGUGGGCGCUGGAGAAUGAGGGGGGCUGCUCCUAGUACGAGAGGACCGGAGUGGACGCAUCACUGGUGUUCGGGUUGUCAUGCCAAUGGCACUGCCCGGUAGCUAAAUGCGGAAGAGAUAAGUGCUGAAAGCAUCUAAGCACGAAACUUGCCCCGAGAUGAGUUCUCCCUGACUCCUUGAGAGUCCUGAAGGAACGUUGAAGACGACGACGUUGAUAGGCCGGGUGUGUAAGCGCAGCGAUGCGUUGAGCUAACCGGUACUAAUGAACCGUGAGGCUUAACCU
rnacentral:rRNA from 1 species